rnacentral:rRNA from 1 species
UACCUACGGGAGGCAGCAGUGGGGGAUAUUGGACAAUGGGGGGAACCCUGAUCCAGCGACGCCGCGUGAGUGCCGCCGUCUUUCGGUCUGUCCCGCUCUGUCCGCCGGGCCGACCGCAAUGACGGUACCUGACCAAGAAGCCCCGGCUAACUACGUGCCAGCAGCCGCGGUAAUACGUAGGGGGCAAGCGUUAUCCGGAAUUACUGGGUGUAAAGGGCGCGUAGACGUCUGUGCAA